UACGGAGGGUGCAAGCGUUGUUCGGAAUAACUGGGCGUAAAGCGCGCGUAGGCGGGUCUUCAAGUCGAUUGUGAAAUCCCGGAGCUUAACUCCGGACGUGCAGUCGAUACUGUUGAUCUUGAAUGCCUGAGAGGAUGGCGGAAUUCCCGGUGUAGGAGUGAAAUCCGUAGAUAUCGGGAGGAACACCCGAGGCGAAGGCGGCUAUCUGGCAGUGCAUUGACGCUGAGGCGCGAAAGCGUGGGGAGCAAACAGG
rnacentral:misc_RNA from 1 species